rnacentral:sRNA from 1 species
UGCGUGCAUAUUCUGUAACAGCUCUAU